GAAAUGCGAUAAGUAGUGUGAAUUGCAGAAUUCAGUGAAUCAUCGAAUCUUUGAACGCACAUUGCGCCCUUUGGUAUUCCUUAGGGCAUGCCUGUUCGAGCGUCAUCUAAACCUUCAAGCCCUGCUUGGUGUUGGGUACCUGUCCCGCCUCCGCGCGCGGACUCACCUCAAAUCCAUUGGCGGCCCCCGCGUCGGCCACGAGCGCAGCAGAAACGCGAACUCGUGAGCCCGUCCGGGCGGCUCCCAGAAGCUACACCCACCCAGUUUGACCUCGGAUCAGGUAGGGAUACCCGCUGAACUUAAGC
rnacentral:misc_RNA from 1 species